AUGUGCCCUAAGGCAUAUGUGCUGCGCAUGGCCAUGAGGGAUAUUUGGAUCUUGCCUGCGGAGGAGGCUCUCAAGUAUACUGGGGCUGAUUGGUUUCUUAUUCUUUUGGAUCAAUUAAGCCCUACUAUGCGUGACCAAAUUAUUUUCAUUUUCUGGAGAGCCUGGCAUUUGAGUAACGACAUGAUUUUUGAGGUUGACUCGAAAAAUAAAGAGACUGACUGUGCGUUCGUGGUGGCGACCCUGGAAAAUAAAAUUUUUGACAGGUCAUCGUUGGUGGAUUUGAAGAAGGAAGCGAUGAGUAUCUCCAAGCUUAUAUCUAGUCUUAAGAUCUCCAAGAUCAAUCGCUCGGCCAAUGUGAUGGCCCAUAUAAUUGCUAAAUUUAGCUUUGAUAAUAGAUCAGAUGAGAGGCUGGCUGCUGGCGGAGACACGGAGAUGACUCUUCGCUCGCAGUCGCCCGUGGUGAAAGCGACGCUGACAGAUUGGAGACAGCUCCUUCCCGCUCCCCAGCCGCGGGGCGACGCAUAG
rnacentral:rRNA from 1 species